AUGCUAGGGCCUCCCGACGGGUCGAUUUUGACCGAGGUCGCCAUGGAAGGUGAGAAGCAGCCGCAACCGGCGGUGGCAGACUCUUCCGCCACCGUAUCGAAGGUGCUCAACGAUGACAACCUCCUCGUUGAGAUCCUUCUCCGUGUCAGCUUCCCCAACACCCUCGUUCGUGCCGCCCUGGUCUGCAGACGCUGGCUAUGCCACGUCUCCGACAAGGCCUUCCUUGGCCGGUUCCGUAAGCUGCACCCCCCUCGCCUGCUCGGCUUCUACAUCGACACCGGAAUGGGGCCCCGUUUCACACCGAUGCUGCCUCAGCCACCGGAGUUGGCCGCCGUCAUCGACCGUGCAUGCUUCUGCCCGGACACCUGGCAGUGUACACGGGCUGACGUCAUUGACUGCCGGAAUGGCCGCGUCUUAACUAUGCUCCAAGACGGCCCUAGAUUCAAACUUGGAGUGCAUACCGCUCUGUGCACUGAGAGAGACAUGACGACCUUCCCACCACUUCCAAGGUAUAACCGGCCGGAGGGCAGGUUCUGCAUCUGGCCGUGUCUCCUCUCCAAAGAACAAGGCGACGACUUGUCCUACUUUUAUGUUCUGAUCGAGUCUUCCGAGGAGACCACUAAGGUUACGGUGCGAGUAUAUAUGUUGCAACAUGGUGUCUGGUGCACACAUCAUACUUUGGCCACUGACCAGCCAUCUCUUCCGCUAUGGGACCCAAAACUUGUGCUGGUCGACAGUAAAAUUUAUAUCACGGUUGCCCCGAGAAAUAUUAUGGUCUUGGAUUUGUCGGUCUCAAGUUGCUCUACAAUUUUUCUGCCACGAGGGGUGGAGUAUGGAGAUAGAGACGCCAUGUUGUCACGGGCAGAUGAUGCAUCUAGUGUAUAUCUUAUUCAAGUGAAGGAGUUUCAGCUUCAUAUCUGGCUCCACGAGGGGAACAACUGGCUGCUGGUGCACGCCAUCUUUAUGAGUGAGAUGGUUGCUGAUUUGAGGAUGCAAGAUUACACUGUUGAGGAUGGGCAUAUUGAUGUUCUUCGGAUACUGCAGGUCGGGGACAACGCCGAGUUUGUGUUCUUCCAGAUGGGUCGAUGCAUACUGUAUCUAGAUAUCAAGGGCAAGACAUUGCGUAAAGUCUAUGCGAUGAAAGAUAAGGAUUGGUAUUCUGCUUAUUAUAUUUUUCCUUUUAAGAUGGUUUGGCCUCCUAUAUUUCCUGCACUGAAGCUGAACCUUCAAGAAUCGCCAUCUGAAGAGCAAUAUCAUCCAGCUCAGUGA
rnacentral:rRNA from 1 species